ACUUUAUAAAUAAUAUUCCAAAGAUUAAUUGGUCCCGGUGAAAUUCAGAUUUAAUAUUAGCAAUAAAAAAAAAUGUGCAAAAAAAAGGGAAAUUGAUGAUGUGUAAUCAAAGUUUUGAAAAUGAGUGUCUUGUUUCAUCAGAACAGAUUGCGUGAAGCCUCAAGCAUCCUGUUUCCGGCAUAUCGUUUAUCCGGUACCCCCUUUCAAUUAUCAUAUUGCAAGCGUUUACCUGGGCCCAUUAUAAAGUGACUAAAAGGUAACAUUCAGAUUUAUGACAUUUUAAUUAACGCUAAAAAAACUAAAUUGAAUUUUAAAGAAAAGUGAUACAUUUUAGAGGUUAUAAUUUGCUAGUUUGUUUAUUUACAGUGGCGUAGGAAUAUAUUUUUUAGGGGGCAAAAUCAUAUAGUAUUUUCUUAAAAAUUGGGGUCUACGCCACUGUUUAUUUGCAGUAGGUAAUUAGAAAACUAUAUUCUGUCAAGGACAGCCGCUUAAGAUCAGCAACGACGACUGUUGAUGUAGAAAGAGAAAUGUGGGGUUGUUGGAAAGUGGAAAUAUAGAACUGGGGGGUGUGUAUUUCACAUUGAAACGCGGCCAACUGCGCCCCGUAAUCUCAUCACAAUAUCGCUGUGAGGUGGCGAGGCGAGGAUAAAUCCUUGCAAGUGUAUAUACACCAUCCAUGGACAACUGUAUCGUUUGUUGUAAUAACAAAUAUAUAUAUAUAUAUAGUUAUGACAGGAUUCUCAGUGUUGCAUCCAGCCAGGUUAUCAGAAUUAAUAUAUAUAGAUGUGGAAUAAAAUGAAAAAUAAGAUAAACUUGAAGUAUAUAAUAUAUUUAAAAAGAAAAAAAAACACCCAAAGAAGUUUAAAGGAAUUGUGGUUGCAUGUGAAAUUUGAAAGCGGACUUGUGCUUUACAGGGUCCAUCUUUCAUAUUUUCCUUAUAGAACUAUAUUCAAUGUGUAUCUGUAAGUAUAUACAGAUUAUUGGAUUAUUUAUUAUAUAUAUAUAGGAAUAUAUUAUAUAUACGUCGAUUAGAUAAGAAGAUCAAGUUUGGUAGAUAAGGGUGGCCGCAAGUCAGAAAAAAUUAGGAAAUCCGGGAAAAGUUAGGGAAUUUUGUUAAAAAUCUUCGAAAGUCCAGGAAUUUUGAUCCAACGGAAAGUAUUCCAAAUU